GCAGAGUUAGACGCAGCGUUUCAGAAUGUAAGGUGAUGGCGAAGUCAACUGCGACUUCAACAAAAUCCAGAAGUCCAACAUCUGGGCUUGCGAAACUGCAAUUGCCACAAGCGCAACCGAAGGCACCCGUUGAUAAACAAAGCCAUAAAGGGUUUACAGUUUUUACUCCAAACCCCAAUAAAAGAAAAGAUAUUCAGAAAAAAGCCGAAGCAGAACUAGCAGCUCUAGAGGACUUUCCCUUGAGUCGGGCUAUGGGCUAUGUUUCCUUAACGCCUAGACCCGUAGGUGGACGCCUAACACUGGAGGAAGUCAGAAUAAAACAGCAACAAGAGAUGAAAAUAAAAGAUAACAAAAAACAGGGCCCGAUUGACUUUCAGUGAAAUACUAGUUUGAGUCCCUCUUCAGCUGAUCGGAUUUCUUAGGCCUUCCUUUGUUUUCCAGAUGAAAAAUGCUUUGAAAGCAUGUCCCAUAGUAUAUAGUAUAAAUAACCCAAUAAUCAGGUUUAAUUGCAGCUUCCAUAAUUCAGAUCCUUAUGCUCAGUGUGUACACUAAUAUAACAUUUUUUUAACCUAAAUUGCAAUAAAAUAUUAUUUUGAAUCUUUUAAAAAUAAAUAUGACUUAUUUCCCCUCUGUCUCAGAAGUAAUGUUGACUUUGUUUACUGUAUUGUAAAGUUGUUAAUGGUUACCGUAUUUGUACUUUAUCAUUUAAACGUCCAUUGUAUAAAACUUUAACAACUUUAAAUGUAUUGCUUAUUUUUGAGAAGACAUACAUCAUGCAGUACUGCAAUUCAAAUUCACACAGUAGCCAAAUAUUCCUAUACUUGUGUAAAAUAAUGAAAACUCACUUUUCUUACAUGCCUGGCGUAUGUUGCACAAUCCAAUCUGAGUAUGCCAAAGAAAAAACACAAUAACAAAAGAUGUACUAUUACUGCGUUAUUACAAAUGAGCAGUGUGUUACUGAGUUUCAUUCAUUCCGUUAUAUCAUGCUGUUCAAAGCACACUGUAGUGUUUCUCAUCUGUUCCCUAGCAACAACGUCUUCUCUCUCUUCUUUGUUUUGUCCUCCGUGUAUAUUCUGAGAGCCGUCUACUUUGAAGUUUCCAAAAAUACAAACUGGUCUCCUGCUGCCUGGGAGAGAGACUGAGAGCUGUGCAUAUAACAGGAUGAACGUGGAAAACAGAGGGAGCAGCCGGGGAUGACCAGCUAGAUAUUUCCUUAGUGUUUUUUAGGCUUACAUUUCCUUAACACACCAUCGCUCCCUACCAAGCAGUAGUACUUAGCCAUAAUCUAUGGAGUCAGUUGUGAAUGUUUGGACAAUGCUACCAUAAGACCGUG